GGGGCUGUAGCUCAGUAUAGAGCAUUUGUCUAGCAUGUAUAAUGCUUAGGUUCAAUCCCCAGUUCCA
rnacentral:tRNA from 1 species